rnacentral:piRNA from 1 species
UGAAUGUGUAUAUAACUAUCAAACAGGUGU